rnacentral:rRNA from 1 species
GAUGAACGCUAGCUACAGGCUUAACACAUGCGAGUCGAGGGGUAACGAGAGGAAAGCUUGCUUUCCUUGUCGACGACCGGCGCACGGGUGAGUAACGCGUAUCCAACCUGCCCCCAACUAGGGAAUAACCUUGCGACAGUAAGACUAAUACCCUAUAAUUUCCUCAGAUGUCAUCUGACGAGGAAUAAAGAUUUAUCGGUUGUGGAUGGGGAUGCGUCUGAUUAGCUUGUUGGCGGGGUAACGGCCCACCAAGGCAACGAUCAGUAGGGGUUCUGAGAGGAAGGUCCCCCACAUUGGAACUGAGACACGGUCCAAACUCCUACGGGAGGCAGCAGUGAGGAAUAUUGGUCAAUGGGCGGAAGCCUGAACCAGCCAAGUAGCGUGCAGGAUGACGGCCCUAUGGGUUGUAAACUGCUUUUAUACAGGAAUAAAGUUAGCCACGUGUGGUUAUUUGUAGGUACUGUAUGAAUAAGGACCGGCUAAUUCCGUGCCAGCAGCCGCCGUAA